rnacentral:rRNA from 1 species
CUCCGUGUUGAAGCUAACGCGAUAAGCACUCCGCCUGGGGACUACGGUCGCAAGACUAAAACUCAAAGGAAUUGACGGGGACCUGCACAAGCGGUGGAGCAUGUGGUUUAAUUCGAUGCAACGCGAAGAACCUUACCACUCCUUGACAUGGGGACUAGAUCCUUCUUAACGGAAGGGCGCAGUUAGGCUGGGUCCCACACAGGUGCUGCAUGGCUGUCGUCAGCUCGUGUCGUGAGAUGUUGGGUUAAGUCCCGCAACGAGCGUAACCCUCAUUCUUAGUUGCCAGCGGGUAAUGCCGGGCACUUUAAGAAAACUGCCGGUGGUAAACUGGAGGAAGGUGGGGAKGAUGUCAAGUCAGCACGGCCCUUAUGGGGUGGGCUACACACGUGCUACAAUGGUAGCUACAAUGGGUUGCAAUGUCGCAAGGCGGAGCUAAUCCUCAAAAGCUAUCUCAGUUCGGAUUGUCCUCUGCAACUCGAGGGCAUGAAGUCGGAAUCGCUAGUAAUCGUGGAUCAGCAUGCCACGGUGAAUACGUUCUCGGGUCUUGUACACAC